GCUUUGAGAAGCUAAUUAGCAUCGGUCUUGUAAACCGAAGAUCAGAAUACAACCUCUCCAAAGCU
rnacentral:tRNA from 1 species